AUUGAACGCUGGCGGCAGGCCUAACACAUGCAAGUCGAGCGGCAGCGGGAAAGUAGCUUGCUACUUUUGCCGGCGAGCGGCGGACGGGUGAGUAAUGCCUGGGAAAUUGCCCAGUCGAGGGGGAUAACAGUUGGAAACGACUGCUAAUACCGCAUACGCCCUACGUGGGAAAGCAGGGGACCUUCGGGCCUUGCGCGAUUGGAUAUGCCCAGGUGGGAUUAGCUAGUUGGUGAGGUAAUGGCUCACCAAGGCGACGAUCCCUAGCUGGUCUGAGAGGAUGAUCAGCCACACUGGAACUGAGACACGGUCCAGACUCCUACGGGAGGCAGCAGUGGGGAAUAUUGCACAAUGGGGGAAACCCUGAUGCAGCCAUGCCGCGUGUGUGAAGAAGGCCUUCGGGUUGUAAAGCACUUUCAGCGAGGAGGAAAGGUUGAUGCCUAAUACGUAUCAACUGUGACGUUACUCGCAGAAGAAGCACCGGCUAACUCCGUGCUAGCAGCCGCGGUAAGAC
rnacentral:rRNA from 1 species